UGGGGAAUCUUCCGCAAUGGACGAAAGUCUGACGGAGCAACGCCGCGUGAGUGAAGAAGGUUUUCGGAUCGUAAAACUCUGUCUUUUGGGGCGAACGUGAGUAUGGUAAAUAAUCAUAGUCAGUGACGGUACCAAAGGAGGAAGCCACGGCUAACUACGUGCCAGCAGCCGCGGUAAUACGUAGGUGGCAAGCGUUGUCCGGAAUUAUUGGGCGUAAAGAGCGCGUAGGCGGGAUAGUCAGUCUGUUGUAAAAGUGCGGGGCUCAACCCCGUGAUCGCAAUGGAAACAGCUAUUCUUGAGUGCAGGAGAGGAAAGUGGAAUUCCCAGUGUAGCGGUGAAAUGCGUAGAUAUUGGGAGGAACACCAGUGGCGAAGGCGACUUUACUGGACUGUGUCUGACGCUGAGGCGCGAAAAGCCA
rnacentral:rRNA from 1 species